UUUUUUAGUAGUGUAUUAUUAAUCUUUUUGUAAUCUGACUGUGAAAUUGAGUAUGAGGCUACUAAUUAUAGAUGUUUAGAUCUGAAGAAUGACAUCCAGAAUCAGCCAGCUGGAAUUUGGCCAUAUGAGCCUCAAACUACAGAUACUUUCUGGACCGUGUGUGUGUGUGUGUGUGUGUGUGUGUACAUCCAGAAUUUGUUGUGUUCUGUUGACUGAUUAAAGGAAACUAUUAAUACAUUUAUUCCUGCAGGUAUUCUGUUCCAGCCAAUACACAUAACACAAUGAAUUUUGUACCUAUGACAGUCUGUAAAACUUAAGAGAUCAGAGGGUCUUCGGUGCACCCCAUUUGUCUCACUUUGUCAUUGUUUCAACAGCAGAAUAGAACACGGUGUUCCUGAACACUCAUACUGUAAGCUGGACUGCAGACAAAGACCAUGCAUACACACAGAAAUUAUUAUCUUACAUCAAGGAAACAAAUUCAAAGUUCAGUGAAGGUGAGCUAUGUUUAGUUGUAUGUGUCUUUUGUUGUUGUUGGGGGUGGGGGGUGGUAGGUAUGCAUGAGAGGUGUGUGUUUGUGUGUUCAUAUGUAGUGGUUGCAGUCUGGCAAGUUUUAAAUCACUUUCACAGACUAAACUGCCCAGUUUUCCACAAGCAGGCCUGACUGAAGAAGACGAUCUUGCCAUGUCCACUGAUGUUAACAGGGAGGCCGUAUUCCAGGCGACAAAGGUUCGAACCCAUCUGAAACAAGAUGGAAGCUGGAUCAACAGAUCUAAAAAUGUUGAGGACACACAGUCAGAUGUAAAAGCAAGUAAACCAAUAAAGCAAGGAAAACCUAAAAAUGUUUCAUCACCUGAAAGCAGUUCGGUCUCUUCCUCCGUCAUGCCAUGUGCAGAGAGUACCACCACCUCCUCCAGCCUGGACUCGUCCACACCCCCUCAAAGCUCUUAUGUCGUGUCAGCCUUAAGGAAGUUUGAUGCACAUCCUGUCCUUGAGGACCCCAGGAGAGCACAUGUAGAGAAAGCAGUGGAGACAUCCAUAGCCAAAGCCACAGAGCAACCACUGAAGACACCAGCAGAUGCUUCUGUAAAGGACAUAGUGGAAAAACCAAUCGCUAUACCUGAAGACGAACCAUUGAAGACACAUGCAGACACUCCUAAAAUGUGCGUAGUGGAGAAUAUAAUUAAACCUGUAGAGGAACCAUUGAAGACACCUACAGAUGUUCCUGUAAAGAACAUAGUGGAGAAACCUGCAGAGAGACACACAGAGACUGUAGAGGGAACAAGGAAGACACCUGUAGAUGGAGCUUCAACAAAUCAAACACAAUCCAGUGGAGCGCUGCAGGAGAAAACAGUCAAAACCCUACAUGAGAACCCAGCAAAGCCUUCACUGACUACAGAGAAUAAAGAGGAUGAUACAGUUGAACAAGUCUCAAUAGCACAUGCACCUGUAGUAGAGGCUCUACUCGAACCCAGACAGGUAGAAAACCAGCCUACAAGUGAACAUGGGGAACUUUCACUAGUAUCUGCUCUGGAAACUCCAACUACAGAGUCAUCAACUAGAUCAACUACAGAACCAACCGAAGAACCCCGUGUGGCAGCCCUGGAAGAGAACCACAGACUGAACAGUCAAGCUCAAUUGAAUGUCAGAGGUAAAACCAUGUGUUCCUUCUGCAAGCUGCCCAUAGAUGGAAAUGUGAAAAUCUCCAUCAACAUUCCUGCCAUUUGCUGCCAUCCGGAUUGUUUAAAGUGUAAUGGUUGCAGCAGUCCUCUGGGCGAUCUCUCUUCAUCUAUGUACCACUAUGCUGGGAAAAUCCUCUGCGAGAAAUGCUUUGAUCGAAUCUUCCAGCUCUGAUGACUCAUCCUACUGCAACCUACUCCACUACAACUCAUCACCAUAACACCCAAGCACAUCUCAGUGUCUACCAGCAAGUUUCCU
rnacentral:lncRNA from 1 species